rnacentral:rRNA from 1 species
CUACAAUGGUCUAUCAGAGCUUUAGUAGUUGCAAUUGAACAAGAUCGAGUAUAUCGUCCAAACGAGAUUUCAGUUCGAAGAGUACCAGGCUUAUGGCUAUGGGCUGAUGAAAAUGCUAGUAAUUGCACUCUAGGCAU